UCUCCUGUAGCUCAGUGGUAGAGCGUCCGACCAGUGUGCGGAAGGUCAUGGGUUGGACUCCUUUUGGGAGAA
rnacentral:tRNA from 1 species